rnacentral:piRNA from 1 species
UUCUGUUACUAGUUGUGCCCUGAAUGGAUU